rnacentral:rRNA from 1 species
AAAUGACGGUACCUGACUAAGAAGCUCCGGCUAAAUACGUGCCAGCAGCCGCGGUAAUACGUAGGGGGCAAGCGUUAUCCGGAUUUACUGGGUGUAAAGGGAGCGUAGGCGGCAAGGCAAGUCUGAUGUGAAAACCCGGGGCUCAACCCCGGGACUGCAUUGGAAACUGCUUAGCUAGAGUGUCGGAGAGGUAAGUGGAAUUCCUAGUGUAGCGGUGAAAUGCGUAGAUAUUAGGAGGAACACCAGUGGCGAAGGCGACUUACUGGACGAUAACUGACGCUGAGGCUCGAAAGCGUGGGGAGCAAACAGGAUUAGAUACCCUGGUAGUCCACGCUGUAAACGAUGAAUACUAGGUGUCGGGUGGCAAAGCCAUUCGGUGCCGCAGCUAACGCAAUAAGUAUUCCACCUGGGGAGUACGUUCGCAAGAAUGAAACUCA